rnacentral:rRNA from 1 species
AUUGAACGCUGGCGGCAUGCUUUACACAUGCAAGUCGAACGGUAACAGGCCGCAAGGUGCUGACGAGUGGCGAACGGGUGAGUAAUGCAUCGGAACGUGCCCAGUCGUGGGGGAUAACGCAGCGAAAGCUGUGCUAAUACCGCCUACGAUCUAUGGAUGAAAGCGGGGGACCGUAAGGCCUCGCGCGAUUGGAGCGGCCGAUGUCAGAUUAGGUAGUUGGUUGGGUACAGGCUCACCAAGCCAACGAUCUGUAGCUGGUCUGAGAGGACGACCAGCCACACUGGGACUGAGACACGGCCCAGACUCCUACGGGAGGCAGCAGUGGGGAAUUUUGGACAAUGGGCGCAAGCCUGAUCCAGCAAUGCCGCGUGCAGGAAGAAGGCCUUCGGGUUGUAAACUGCUUUUGUACGGAACGAAACGGCGAGCUCUAAUACAGUUUGCUAAUGACGGUACCGUAAGAAUAAGCACCGGCUAACUACGUGCCAGCAGCCGCCGUAA